AGAGUUUGAUCCUGGCUCAGGACGAACGCUGGCGGCGCGCCUAACACAUGCAAGUCGAACGGGAUGAAUUCUUACUCCGAGUCUUUUGCAGAGUUAGCCGAAAAAGCGUCAUUGAUGCGCAGCAUCAAUUAGGCUUUUUAAGUAAGACUAACACAAAUGCAAAGGGUUGGGAGUAAGGAUUCAUCUAGUGGCGAACGGGUGAGUAACGCGUGAGGAACCUGCCUCAAAGAGGGGGACAACAGUUGGAAACGACUGCUAAUACCGCAUAAGCCCACGGGACCGCAUGGUCUUGAGGGAAAAGGAGCAAUCCGCUUUGAGAUGGCCUCGCGUCCGAUUAGCUGGUUGGUGAGGUAACGGCCCACCAAGGCGACGAUCGGUAGCCGGACUGAGAGGUUGAACGGCCACAUUGGGACUGAGACACGGCCCAGACUCCUACGGGAGGCAGCAGUGGGGAAUAUUGCACAAUGGAGGAAACUCUGAUGCAGCGACGCCGCGUGGAGGAAGAAGGUCUUCGGAUUGUAAACUCCUGUUGUUGAGGACGAUAAUGACGGUACUCAACAAGGAAGUGACGGCUAACUACGUGCCAGCAGCCGCGGUAAAACGUAGGUCACAAGCGUUGUCCGGAAUUACUGGGUGUAAAGGGAGCGCAGGCGGGAAUGCAAGUUGGGAGUGAAAUCUACGGGCUCAACCCGUAAACUGCUCUCAAAACUGUAUUUCUUGAGUAGUGCAGAGGUAGGCGGAAUUCCCGGUGUAGCGGUGGAAUGCGUAGAUAUCGGGAGGAACACCAGUGGCGAAGGCGGCCUACUGGGCACCAACUGACGCUGAGGCUCGAAAGUGUGGGUAGCAAACAGGAUUAGAUACCCUGGUAGUCCACACCGUAAACGAUGAUUACUAGGUGUUGGGAGAUUGACCCUCUCAGUGCCGCAGUUAACACAAUAAGUAAUCCACCUGGGGAGUACGACCGCAAGGUUGAAACUCAA
rnacentral:rRNA from 1 species